rfam:Schistosoma haematobium scaffold505_7, whole genome shotgun sequence.
AUCUAGCUGACGAGUCCCAAAUAGGAUGAAACGCUCAUCAAACUGCAU